rnacentral:pre_miRNA from 1 species
UCCUCUACCUUGUGCGGCAGACAGUUGUUUACUUUAUUGUCUGUCCACAGGUCUAGGGGGCA